rnacentral:lncRNA from 1 species
CCCUCGGAGGCAGUGGUGAUUAUCACCCCCACCUCCUACAGGGGAAGACACCACGACUACUGGGGUCAAUACUCUGUCCCGAAGCACACAGCCAGCGAGACACAGAGCCAGAGCUUGAAUGCUGGGAUCUCUAAACUCUCGGGUAUCGAAGACCACCACACAGUCCAAACUGUGGGCUUUCUUAUCAAACCAAGAGUCCGCAUUUCACUCAGGGUCAAGUCCGCUCCAACCGGCACCUCUCAGCUGGUCCCAGCUGGCCAGGCCAGCACCCGCCUCCUCAGGCCACAGCGGUCAGGUCCGGGUCUGCCACCAGCCCCGAGACCCAAGUGGACACAGACUGAGGGGCCGAGGCGGGAAGCCGCAGCCCGCGCGAGACCUGAGCGCGCGACCCACGCGGGCUGCCGGGCUCCAGCCCCGACGUCGCGGGCCGGGCGCGCGCAGACCCGGGGCCGACGCCCCCGCCGCGCGGCCCCAGGCCCGCCCCCGCCCCUCGGAGGUUUUCGCUUUCGCUUUCCUGCCGCGGUCGUUGAGGAAAAUAAAGCGGCCGUGACCAGAGCCGGCGCAGUUGCGAUCCGGCCGAAGGGCUCGGGGGUGCGGCGGCGGCCCGCUCGGAACCGGGGUCCCCAGGGCCGCGGCCCGCGCCGGGCGAGAUGGCAGCACGCCCUGGACCUCCUUGCAAGGGAGGCCGCGCUGAGGCCGGACAGCAGAGAAAUGAGAAAAUGGACUCCCUUCUCCUGGAGAUGUGAAUGCCAGCCACCAGCUGUGGCUCCUGUAAGGCCCACCCAGCAAGGAUUCUGUGACAUCUCUGCAUCGCGUCCUGAGGCGUCCUUUGCAGGGAAGUUGAUGACCCCUUGUCCUUUUCACUCGGGCCUGUGCUGGCUUGGCCCUGUGAUGUUUGUGUUUUGGGCUCACUGUGUGGAAUCACAGAGCUGCAUGUUGGGUCCUGAUCUCACCAAACUCCAGGGCUCUGUGGAAGUUUACUGUGGUUGGAAGAGGGUAGAUUAUAUAAGUCAAGCUUGCCUUUAG